GACGUAGGGCGCGAGCGUUGUCCGGAUUUAUUGGGCGUAAAGAGCUCGUAGGCGGUCUGUCGCGUCUGCUGUGAAAAUCCAGGGCUCAACCCUGGACCUGCAGUGGGUACGGGCAGACUAGAGUGCGGUAGGGGAGAUCGGAAUUCCUGGUGUAGCGGUGAAAUGCGCAGAUAUCAGGAGGAACACCGAUGGCGAAGGCAGGUCUCUGGGCCAUAACUGACGCUGAGAAGCGAAAGCAUGGGGAGCGAACAGG
rnacentral:rRNA from 1 species